UACGGAGGGUGCAAGCGUUAAUCGGAAUUACUGGGCGUAAAGCGUGCGCAGGUGGUUUGUUAAGUCCGCUGUGAAAUCCCCGAGCUCAACUUGGGAAUUGCAGUGGAUACUGGCAAGCUGGAGUACGGUAGAGGAAGGUGGAAUUCCCGGUGUAGCAGUGAAAUGCGCAGAUAUCAGGAGGAACACCGGUGGCGAAGGCGGAUCUCUGGGCCGAUACUGACGCUGAGGAGCGAAAGCGUGGGGAGCGAACAGG
rnacentral:rRNA from 1 species